rnacentral:rRNA from 1 species
UUGGAGGGCAAGUCUGGUGCCAGCGGCCGCGGUAAUUCCAGCUCCAAUAGCGUAUAUUAAAGUUGUUGCAGUUAAAAAGCUCGUAGUUGAAUUUCGGGAUUGACGUGAUGGUCAUGCCUUAAGGGGUAUGAACUGUUACAGUUGAUUUCUCACCUUCUGGAGAAACUUGAUGUCCUUUAUUGGGUGUCUUGCGGAUCCAGGACCUUUACCUUGAAAAAAUUAGAGUGUUUAAAGCAGGCAUUUUUGCUCGAAUACAUUAGCAUGGAAUAAUAGAAUAGGACGGCAUGGUUCUAUUUUGUUGGUUUCUAGGAUCACCGUAAUGAUUAAUAGGGAUAGUUGGGGGCAUUAGUAUUCAAUUGUCAGAGGUGAAAUUCUUGGAUUUAUUGAAGACUAACUACUGCGAAAGCAUUUGCCAAGGAUGUUUUCAUUAAUCAAGAACGAAAGUUAGGGGAUCGAAGACGAUCAGAUACCGUCGUAGUCUUAACCAUAAACUAUGCCGACUAGGAAUCAGACGAUGUUAAUUUUUUAAUGACUCGUUUGGCACCUUACGGGAAACCAAAGUGUUUGGGUUC